UCUUUGCCUGCAAAUUCAAUAAUUAACCUCUCAGUAAACAUUAAACACACUUAUAACAAAUUCAUGCUUACUGCAAGGUGAUAUUUAUUCCCCAUUGAGAGGAAAACAAAACUUUUAUUGGAUAACAUACAUCGGAUAAUUUUAGUGCACUGGAUAAGUUGUUUUUGGCGGAUGAAAAAUUAUUGGCAAAAAUAAAAGCGCUAAAAUUUCUAUCUAUAAAACUUUGUUAAUGAAUCUGCACCAAAAAUUAAAAUGCUAAAAUUUUAAAUGACUUUUCUGAGAAAAACAAAUAUUAGGUUAAGUAUUAUACAUAUUUAAAAAAAAAACCAACGACUUUCACCAUUUCCUUACAGCCUGGGGUCACUUUUUGAACAAUAUUCAUCCAUUAAUGUGCAGAAAAAAUCCUGUUUCAUUCAAAUAGAUCAUGCAACUUUCAGGUAGAAGAUGUGAUUUUCCUUUCAUGUUUUAUAAGAAUGCAGGAUACAGUCUGUGAAAUGAAUUCUUUAUUUAAUCAUUAGCUUAUUCUUCAAUAUUUACAGUCACUCUUCUUUUUUCCUAAAUAUAAUUAGCAAUUGUAACCAAUGGCUGUUUUCUCAUAUACUUUCAUUUUUGCACAUGGAUUACAAAAAAACCCAACUAGGAUAUCGCAAUCAAAAUGUGGUGUUGAUAAUGACGUCACAAAGGAACUCGUUCAAUAGCAAUGCUUGUUGUUUUUCAAAUGCUGAAUGACGAAACAAAGCGCAGUUAACACACUGAUAUAACAUAGUUUGUAACAAGGAUAACCUCCGAGGUCAGGAAAUGCUAUUCUGAAAUGUAAAAACUGAGGUGUUGAUGGAUAAUAUCAACUGCUUUGGAUACACAUUUCAAGAAAACUACACAUACAUGGAAGAAAGUUAAUUAAUUUGUCAGUGCAUUGCCAUGUUUGUUUCCAUGAGUAUCCAUCUUGGAAUGCAGUCGAUAGAUUUAUAUUGAAUGACAAAUUUUCUUCCGCCAUUAAUAAACUUGUUUUGCAACAUAUAUUGAUUCAUUCUUAUGAUUAUAAAAUUGAAUUAUCA